GUGGCGGGAAGUGGUUUGGAACGCGGUGUUGGGUGGGAUGAGGAUCGCCGUUUACAGUGGGGCGAUUCGGGGGGGUGUUGGUGAUGGUGGCGGCGGCGGCUGGUGAGGCUGCGCGGCUCCCUCCGGGCUCUCGGCUGGGUGGAAAGAGGCGGGCAUGUUUUUUCUCGGAUGGGGGUUUUGUGUCAGGUGCAGCCGCGGGCUGCCGGCUUGGCCGAGCCGCUGAGGGAGCCGUGGCCGGGAGCUCAGCGGAACUGUAGAGGCUUGAAGGAGUCUGUGAGGGAGAAACGCAUGGAGUGGGAGGGUCGGGAAGGAUAUACUAGCCUAGUCUUACGUUGAGAGAUUCGUUAUAUCCCCGCCCACACCUUUCCUCUGGGAAGAGAAGCUAGCUCCUGUACUCGGGGCCACACUGGACUCUUUCUCACUGUAUUUUCUUUCCUUUAUUUUAUUUUUUGACUCUGUCUGUCCGCACAUCGCUGUCCUGGGCCGUGCCAGCUGUCUCUUGCUUGCAGCAGUAUCCUGUCCACGUCUUUCUGCUGAGAAGGUGGAUAGAUGAGGGCAUGCCCUCCUCUUUUUAGAAUGGAAGACAGACACUUCGAACAAAUGGAUCCUGAUCAGAAACAAAAUUAAAAGUUAUCAGAUGAAAAAAUAAAGGGAAAUAAUUCUUAAA